AUUGAACGCUGGCGGCGUGCCUAAUACAUGCAAGUCGACCUUAGUGGCGAACGGGUGAGUAACACGUGGGUAACCUGCCCAUCAGAAGGGGAUAACACUUGGAAACAGGUGCUAAUACCGUAUACUGAUGGAUGGACCCGCGGUGCAUUAGCUAGUUGGUGAGGUAACGGCUCACCAAGGCCACGAUGCAUAGCCGACCUGAGAGGUUGAUAGGCCACAGUAGGACUGAGGUCCGGGCUAGAGUCCUUCGGGGCGCGGCAGUAGGGAAUGUUCGGCAAUGGACGAUAGUAUGACCAAGGCACGCGGCGUUAGUGAAGAAGAUUUUCGGAACGUAAAACUCUUUUGUUAGAGAAGCGGUAUCUAACCAGAAAGCCACGGCUAACUACGUGCCAGCCGCCACGGUAAUAC
rnacentral:rRNA from 1 species